AUCAGAAGCAGAAGCGCCCUGGUGAUUCUAUGCCACACCACCAUUCCCCAGGAAAAUGUUCUCCACUGAGACAAAAUCCUUAAAUUUUUAGAAUGGCCUUAUUAUGGAUUACAGCAAACAUCUCAGCACAUCUUUCUCAGCAAGGAUCUCAAAACAGCAUUGGGAUGGCCUUAUUAAUAGAUCCCUUACGAAAACUCAGAAAAGUUAGAGAGGCACUCAGAAUCUUCCUAAAAUAUGAAAUGUUGAAAUCUGGAUUCUUUUUUUACCAUGACUGCAAAAUGUAAGCCACUACUUGGGCUCACCUUGUUGAAUCAGAUUUCUUCUACUUUGCCAUUUUGAUGAUAUCACUCCCAGGAGAUGAAUCUAUUGCUUCCAGAGCAUGAAUACUAGAACAGAGGACAGUUGGUAAAACUGAGAUACCAUGCCAGGUAAUAGUCGGAGUUUCAGCUGGAAAAUAGAAGAUAUGUUUCCAUUGGGUCAAGCAAGAAGAGCUUGAGACAUCUCAUCGAUUACCUACAAAAACUGCCCAGAUAAGUGAGGAGACCCAUGAGAUUUGGUAUAAAUUGCUCACUGUAUGUGGGGUAACAGAAAGAAGAAUAACCCAACAUAGAAAGCCUCAAAGCAGGAAGAUACUACACAGACUUCCAAAGAAGCAGUGAGAGGACACCAUCUGAUGCUGGCUGCACCAAGAAGCCUGAAUGGCUGUCAGUGUCAGGUGGGGAAGCAGAUGACAGAAGAGAGGAGAACAUGAAAUUGUACUAUAACUGCGUUUGUUGUCCAAAUAAGCACAAGCUGUUCCAUAUACUUUUACAUGUUUCAUUUACUUCUGCAGAGAGGAAAGAAGAAAGAUGAGAGGGAAAGCUAAGAAAAGGUGAGAAGAAAGGGUCAGGAGGAGAAAUGCAAAGAGACUGGGAUAAUUUUUUGGACCAUACCUUCUCUGCUGGCAGCUUACUGUGACUGCACCAUCCAAAAUUUGGUAUAAGGAUUUGGAAAUUUGACCAAUAUUUCUUAGAAGAAGAAAAAGAAUCGAAUAGCUGGGCCACAGUGUUAUAGGAUUUAUGCAGCUCCCCCUUCGUCUUCCACCAUGAUUGUAAGCUUCCUGAGGCCUCACUAGAAGAUGAACAGAUGCCAACACCAUGCUUCCUGUAAAAUCUUCAGAACUGUUUUUUCCACUUCCCCAGAUGGUGUCUGUGGGAUUGGCUCUCACUUUCAAGCUUCACUGACCCUAGAUGAUGGACUAGGAUCUGCUUUGGACAUCUGAGCCCAGGCUAAAGUAGGCAAAGGACAAGAGCUGCCCGCUCUUUCAGAAGCAUCUCUCAGAGAGUGACAUCCCCCUGCACACAGCUGCCAUGUCUGUAUGGCUGACUUGGGAGAAAUGCCAGAAAGGUUGGCAUGAGUGAGCAACUGUGAGGAGACCAUCAGAUGGAAACACCCAAGAGGCACUGAAAUGAUCAGGACUAGCUGAACUGGAAAGGACAAAGGCAGAAGAAAAGUACCCUCAAUGUUUGGGCACCUUGGGUCCAAAUAGAGUUUAUUUAAUAAGGACUUACAGUGAUUUAACUUAAGGUUUUUGCCUUCAUGAUGGGUUUAUCAGGGUAUUAAAUGCAUUUUUAAUUUAGGAUAUUUUUGACUAACAAUGGGUCGAUUGAGAUGUAAACACUUUGUAAGUCAAGGAACAUCUGUAUAUGAAUAAAAUCACAAACUGACCAAGGCCAAAGAGUUCUCCAACACAUUGAUUUCAAGCUCAUGAACAAAGUAUCUCCUUUAAAACAUCCUAAGAUUAUCUAAUCCAAUUUCCUUAUUCUACAAUUAAGACUCCUGAAACCUAGAGGGAAGGUGACUCAACCAGACUCCAAUCCAGCUUGCUUCCAAGAAUGUGAACCAACGAAUCUAUGUAAUCUGCUCUAUCCAUUUCAACAUAAGGAAUGGUGUUACUUGAAUUGUUCACUCUCUAGGACUUUCAUUUGUUUCAUUUCUUUUCCUAUUUAGAAUUAUAGUAUGUGAAGCCUGAAGGCAUUAUAGGGAUAAUCUAGAUCCAAACCUUAUUUUCCAGAGGAAGAAAUGAAUGCACAUAGAGGAAAAGUAGAUUGUCCCAAGGUCAUCUAAUGGCACAGCUCAGAUUGGAAUCUCCAUUUCCUCAUCUCAAACCAGUGCUCUGUCAACUAAAAUAGAAUACUUAAAGAAUGCUGAGGCAUUGAGAGACAAGUAAUUGGAUUCUGAUACACUGUCAAAUAUUAAGAAUGAAUAGCUGUAAGUUCCUUAUUUGACAAAAGCCAAGAUUCUCAUCUUUAUUUUCCACUGAGAAAUAUCAUGCUAGAGACAAUCUUUGCAAACUUUGCUUCUAAGAUGCUAAGUCCUGCGGCAUGUAAUCUUUUCUUUUUUGUGAGUGAGUUGGCCUAAUGCCUAGAAGUUUCAUUACAUUUCCAGAAAGUCUUCUCUGGUAAUUUCAUGAAGCAUAUUACCUGUUUUAUCUUGAAAUGUCUUUACCUUCUAGGAGGUUUACUCAUGAAAGCAAUGCUGAAAAAUACAAUUUGGUUGUUUAAGUGGGAGACUUAGGUUAUUAAAUGUUUAUUUCCUUGGGUAAGAAAAUAUUUUCCUCUCUUUAAGGGAGUGUGGUUGUUAUUAUGAAAAGUUUUAGAAGUUAAAAUUGCUGAUGUACCUGAGGAAAGCCAAAUGUCACCUGUAUAUUUUUGAUCCUCAUUUCUUUGGCUCAUAGUCCAUUCUCUGUAUUUUCUCCAAAUUUUCAUCAGUCUUAGAAAAAUAUAAACUUCAUAAUUCUGGAGUCAUGACAACUUGUACUUAUUUUAAAUGCAAUUUGUGAUAUUACUUAUUAUUCUCUUUAAAGUAUUUUAAACUUCACUAUUUUUAUCAUUUGUAGAUGUAGAUAUUAAAUUUUGUGAAUGAGUUACUAAUUCACAUGGUUUAUCUAUAACUAUCUAUAAAAGUAUACAGUAAAAAUUUCCUUUCUCUACUCCAUUUUUCUUCUAUUCAGUUUUUAUUCUCUCAUCCCUCAAUUGGUGUUCAAUGUUACUGGGCUCUUGUGUAUCUUUAGCUAUUUUUCGUACACUUAAAUUCAAAUAUAUAUUCCCUAAAUUACCCAAUUUCUACAGACAUUAACAUCCUCACAUUCAUAUCUGCACAUUGCUCUUUCCACCUAACAAUAAAUCUUAGUUAUCUUUCUAUGUCAUUUGACAAAAAAACCUCUGUAAUAAUUUGUUAGCUUAAUAUUUUAUUCAAUUCUCCAAUCCUACUAAUGGACACUUGGAUUGAUUCUAAUCUUUUGCUGUUAGAAAUAAUGUUUCAAUAAAUACUCUUGUAAUAUGUCAUUUUGCAAGGAUAUGAGUAAAGUUCCUAGAAGUAUAAUUGAUGGAUCAAAGAAAAAACAUCUGUAAUAUUAAUUUCUGUAAACAACUUGCCCUCCAUGUGGGUUGUAUCAGCAAUAUAUUAAUGUUUUUUCUUCACAGUUUUCCCAACAUAGUGAGUUACCAAAAUUUGUUAUUUUCUUAACAAUCUGACAAACGAAAAUAGUGUCUCCAGCUUAUGCUUCUAGAAAGAAUAUGAUCGUUUACUCUAGGCCAAUGUUCACACUGCAACAAUUAGAAAAAUGCGAUUAAUUAUACUGAGUUUUUUGAGCUAAGAUUAUAGGGGCUUUUCCAUUUUUAUUAGUUCUUGGUUAUUAUAAAACUACUAUAAACAUUCUUAUACAUGUAUUUUGGUGAACAUAUGUCUUCCUUUCUCCUGGAUAUAAACCAAGAAUGAUAUUACUGGGUUAUACUGUUGGUAUGUGUUUAACUUUCUUAGAAAUUGCCAAAUGGUAUUUACAAAAUGGGUGUAUCAUUUUAUAUCCCUACCAAGAAUGUGUAAGAGUAAAAUUAGCUCUACAUUGAGGGGUUGAUAUCUGAGUUCAAACUUAAGUAAUACAGCCAGUCACUGAAAGCCCUGAGGAUAAAAGAGCUCCCAGUAGAGCAACACUAAGCUCAAAGAACCUGUGGCAUUUCUACGGGGAUAUUCCCUGCAACGUUAAAUUUAAUGUAUUCUAAAGUUUCACAUCAUAUGCCCCAUUGGUGGACUGUAAAUUCAAUUCAAGUUUUACCAAGAGAUAAUUUUUGAUGGAAUAUAAGGGACUAGCUUUUUUUUUCUACAAUAAACACUUAAAAAUGUUUUCCAUGUUGUAAAUGCAGCUUAACCAGUAACCAUAAUGAUAGACAUUUAAAUUACUUCUACUAUUUUGUUUUAAUACAUAAUGCUGUGAAAUUAACUUGUAAUAUGAUCUCAAAAGUACAUGAAGGUAUAAAUUGUAUAAAUUCCAGAAGUGUAAUCUCUGAGUUAAAAAAAGAAAACACUUGUAAUUUGAUAGAUAUUUUAAAAAGUGAACUUGUCAAUGUGCUCUCCAAAUUAUAUUAUCAAGAUCUGCUGAAUAAGCUAAAAUAUGGUGAGACUUAGCAUGCUGAUAGAAGAGGCCACACAUUUUUGACCAUUAUUCAAAACCCAACUUCUUAGCAUUUCCUAAUAUUUCAAAAGUAUAUUUGGAAAUCUCAUAGGAGUCUUUAUUUAAAUCAUCAGCAACUCCUUAUCUUAUUUCAUCUUUGGCAGUUUCUUAGAUAAUUAUGACAAUAUUAAUGUAAAAAUACAAAUGAUAAUGUAUGAUAUAUUUCAAUGUAGCAAGAAGAGAGGAUUUUGGAUGUUAUCACUACAAAUAAAUAAUAAGUGUUUGAGGUUAUGAAUAUGCUAAUUAACCUGAUUUGAUCAUUACACAAUAUAUGCAUGUAUGAAAACUUCACAUUGUACCCUUUAAAUAUAUG
rnacentral:lncRNA from 1 species